rnacentral:sRNA from 1 species
CUGACACAGCACUGGAAACUAAAGGCUUAAUUAUCCACAGAAGAGGUACAGCAUGUUGGAGUUCCUUACGCAGCCUGGACUGCAUCACCAAUGCAAGUUCCUUUUCACUGAACCACCUGCUUUAUCCUCUGAUCUGGACUGAGCACCUCCAGGGAUUAGAGGGUAGUUUAAUCUCUGUACCUAUUCAAUCCUUGGCCUUU